AUUGAACGCUGGCGGCAUGCUUUACACAUGCAAGUCGAACGGUAACAGGUUAAGCUGACGAGUGGCGAACGGGUGAGUAAUGCAUCGGAACGUGCCCGAUCGUGGGGGAUAACGCAGCGAAAGCUGCGCUAAUACCGCAUACGAUCUGAGGAUGAAAGCGGGGGACCGUAAGGCCUCGCGCGAUCGGAGCGGCCGAUGUCAGAUUAGGUAGUUGGUGGGGUAAAGGCUCACCAAGCCAACGAUCUGUAGCUGGUCUGAGAGGACGACCAGCCACACUGGGACUGAGACACGGCCCAGACUCCUACGGGUGGCAGCAGUGGGGAAUUUUGGACAAUGGGCGAAAGCCUGAUCCAGCAAUGCCGCGUGCAGGAAGAAGGCCUUCGGGUUGUAAACUGCUUUUGUCGGGGAAGAAAUCCUCUGGGCUAAUACCUCAGGGGGAUGACGGUACCCGAAGAAUAAGCACCGGCUAACUACGUGCCAGCAGCCGCCGUAACAC
rnacentral:rRNA from 1 species